rnacentral:lncRNA from 1 species
UUAGUAUCAUUAUUGCAGAGAAUAAAGUUGAAACUUCCAGUGCAUCAUCCUCAAAACUGCAGAGUGGUCUUUUAGUGGGUGGCAGAGUCAUGGCAGUGGGUUCUCUCAGUGGUGGUCAUGCAGGACAGCAGCAUGCCCAAGUUACCCCCAUUGUGAUGAAGACAUGAAAUGCUUGCUUCCCUGCACUGUACAGGGCCUCAGUGGAGAACAAGCUUGUGGCUGCAGGCACAGCACAGCUCAGGUCACUGGAUAGAUGGUCCCUUUGGAUCACGUGCUCAUCCCUGGCCCAGUCAGCUGUGAUCAGAGGAGCAAGACCGUGAGAUAAGGCUUGAAACCUAAGGAAUUUCAAAGAGGGGGCCAUGAUGGGCAUUCAGCGGCAUCUCAGGAGGGGGCAGAGUAACCAGCAGGUGCUUUGCAUGCUGGUCUGGUGUGUCUGGAAAAGGCAUCCCGCUAAAACGUUUGUCAGGAAACUUCUCAUCAGCAUUUCCAGCAUGCAGGAGCAACCAAGAGAGCCACUUAGAUACCAUUUGAUUAUAAUGUGUUUCUCAGAGAAAUAAAUAGCCCAAAUGGAAGCACA